rnacentral:sRNA from 1 species
UAAAAAUUGAAAAGAAAUAUCAAAAUCAGAGAGGUAAUCAAUAUGCAAAAUUGAUCAUAAGUAAAAGCUUAAGGUAAUUUUAAUGAGCAAUGUUUAAUUUACUUUGCUUUAUGUACAUGUAUAUAAGCAUUCGAAUGAUUUUUCAGGACGAGCUGAAUAACAGUACUCAUGAUGAUGAUGGACGUGAUCAUGAUGGAGAAUUGGAACGUAGGACAAACCAGCAGCAGGGCACAGAGUUAUCUGUUGGUGCCUAUGUGGAAAUUUUGCAUGGCCAGGAAACCUUAAAAGCUGUGAUUGUAAGACCAUCUACACACCCAGUAGGAUACUGGGUGUGCUUUUUCAAAAAACCAACAACUAAGAAACCUUUGUUGAAACUGGAGGAGAAGGAGUUUUUUGUCUUUCCUAAUGAUCUAACCACAGAAAUCAAAGAACCCCGACUAGAGGCCUUUGGAAGCCGAAUAUAUUAUAAUUUUAGUGAUUAACCGUGUUAACUCUUUGAACAUGAUAUAUCCCCCCACUGUUCUCCCUAAAAACAAACUAACAGUUUAACACCCCCCUUUCCCCCUCCACCUACACAAGUGCAGUGCAUUAGUUUUCUUUAUAUUAGUUUGUAGUUUGAUAAAGUUUCAGAUAGAUGUAUGUUGUAAUAGAUUUAAUUGCAAUAUGCGAGUUUUAAGUGUGAAUACAUUACAGAGAUCAAGUUAACAGUUACAA